AUUAAAGAAGAUUUAGAGAUGAAGUAUUAACUAGAGCAGACCUCUGCAAAUGGCUAUGCAAAGAAGGUGAAGAAACCAGAACACAAAGUGACAUGAGUCCUCGGAUUACCUACCAGGGAGUUGGGAUUACCUACUCCAGCUGCUAUUUGGGAGCGAAUCAGAAAGGAGCAAAUGCGGAACCAAGAAUCCUGCUGUGAUUCAGCAUCACAGCUGUCCCUUGUCAUCCAACACCAAACCUCACUGUGAGCCCCUUGAAGGUCAGAUGAGCCAUCAGAGUCCA